UCAGCCUCUCAAAGUGCUGGGAUUACAGGCAUGAGCCACGGUGCCUGGGCUGACAAAUAUUUAUUAUUGAGUUUGUGGAACCCAGAAUGAUCUAGGGCCUCAGUGGCCACUGAACCCUGGGGCACACUUGAACAAAAAUAUGGGCUUCUCAGCCACUAUGCCUUGACAUCCUCUCUAAUCAGAAGUUUGUGUAAUAAGUGCAAAAGACAAUAUUCACAGUGACAAUGAUACUGUGAACUGCCAUAGGGAGAGUAGACAUGACUGUGGUGACAAUGCAGCGGCAGCAGGACCCUGUCCUCUCAUAAGUGGGCAUCCUUUCCCCAUGUGAACACCACAUAGCAGAAACGCCCAUCUUCCAAAGCCCUUUUAUCAUGUUAUGAAUUAUUUACACUUCCAUAUAUUUCAGUUAAAGAGUGGUAAUCAGAUCUGUAUGGAUGCCACUUGGGUCAUUUGUCAUUUCACUUGAAGGCAAAGAAAUGUUUUUAACUGGUAAGUACAACCUUAUCAUAAAAGUCUAUUUUCUGUAAGAAAUACUGAAAAUAUAUUAAAGACCUCCCUUAGUGCCCUUCAGGACACAUAAGAAUCCUAAUAUACCAGGUUGGGAACCAUUGCUAUAGGAUUUGAAAGGAAUAGUAAAUAGUAUUAUCUGAAAGUGAAGAGGAAGAAGAGAUUCUACUUAAAAAUAUUUGUUAAAUGACUGAAAGAAAUAAAUCUAUGAAGUCGUUUAGAACAUGGUCCUUUAGGGAAAGACCUGCCUGCUGUAGAUUCCAUUCACAUUUUAUACGUUUGUAAUGCCUUACAAAGCUAGUCUUUGCACUUAAAGCUACUGCUAACUGAGCAAUAGAAUCACACCUCAUAAGGCUUAAACUGUGUAUUUAAAGGUUUUGAUAGGGGAUCCAGAAAUCUGAGUGAAACCCUGGGUUCUGCAGGUACACAUGGCUCAUGUAUAAGGCAUUUGAAGGGCUUGUGGCCUUGAUGGGGAACACUGUCAACUCUGAUCCUGUUUGUCUGAGGUUACUUGGGGUACAAGAUGAAGACAGAAGGGCGUGCCUCCCUUCUGGAACCAUCACGGCCAGCAGCCGCAUGUUGGGCAGCUGCUGAUACUCAGGGUGCCCAGGCGGGAGAUGGUGAGAGGCCAGCCCUAGCCAAAUUCCUUGCUGCUGCCAGAGGAAGCAGUCUUGCCAUGUGUGUCCACAGGGAUAAGAUUAGCUGCCGAGGUGGAGCUGAUAUCUGAGCGAGGCUCUCGAGGACACAUUCUGGAUAGAUCUCCAUAUGGGAGUUGGAUGACUGCCACCAGCCAGUCUUGGCAGUCCCCAGAAUUCUUCUGAAGUGGACAGUGGAAGAAGUGAAACAUUUGCCUGGCAGCUGGCAUCAAUGCAGUCUCUCUCUGGACAUGCAGAAGAAAAGGUUCAAAAGGAACUGAACCCAAACCAGUCUUUAUUUGAUUUUAGAUGGAAUUAAAACAUUUUUGUGGGUCUCGACAAGUAUUGCCAGCACUGCACCUGCCACCCUGAUAGAGAUGGGGACUUGCUAUACUGCCCAGGCUGGAUAUGAA
rnacentral:lncRNA from 1 species